GGAAGUUCCUUUUCCUGACCCUCUAGUUUUGGGUUUUCUCGAUGGCAUAGUGCACAGCAUGGGAUCUUGGGGAGGCAGAGUGGUGGUCUGGUAGAAGAAGACACCAAGGAUCCUGUCAUGGUAAAAAGGCAGCUGGUGGAGAAAGAGGCAUGGGACAUGAUCAGUAACUGCUUAUGGUUGCUAUUUUAUAUCAAAAUGGAACUCUUGAUUCUAUUCCCAACACUGCUGAAGUAAGUGAUAUGCAGAAUUUACAGGAUGGAAUUGAAGAUUAUGAGAGUGAUUUUCACAGUGAUCCUACUAGGCAUGUAAAUUAAACCUAAGACUUUUCCCAUGACUUAAUAAUGAUGGCAACUUCCAGAAACUUUUCCCUGCUUCCUCUACCUGGAAUCCUGGUAAAGUAGCUUUCACAAAUGCCCCAAAUAUUAAAACUGCU